AUAGUGAUUGAUUAUUUUGAUUUAUACAAUGGAUUUUACCAUCGGGAGCUUUUGUAGCGCAAUAAAUUGCAGCAGCAAUAAGAAGAAGACACCACAGCUGUCUUUUUUAGGUUUACUAUGGAUCCUGAGAGGAGCAAAAAAAUGGCUAGUUAAUAGCAGACGAGAAGACCUUAUGAAGAAAGACCCGGUUUACCUGUAUAAUAAUAUUAGGUUUUGUUCGCUACAUUUCGAACAAGACCAGGUCAUGAACGCAGACAAUAACAAACUCAUGUGGAAUGCAGUAUCCACACUGUUUGACAUUCCAGAUAAGCCACCUCAACUGACGAUGAAGAAGAAGCUGCCACAAAGAUUCGACAGUCAAUCUAAAGCUGUAAAACAGUCCUAUGACACAGAAGCAGCUAGUACAACUCUCCAUUUAUUAGUGCCAGAUUCGUGAGAAUCAUCAACACAAGACCUGCUUUGACGAUGAAGUGGUUAGAUUAAGUGCAGCUGUUCGUGUCUUACAAAAGCGUGUGAAGUGUCAGAAUGUGCAGAUCUCUAGACUUCGAGCGAAUCUAUUAUGGGACAAGCAUAUUUCUCCCACUAUUUGUCAGUUGCUUGUCCCACGUAGAAUAAUAUAAAGAUGAAGGUCGUGGAAACAAGUGACAAUGACAAACACAGUAGGCCUACAGAACGGU